UAUCAUGUGACCGCACUCUCAGAAAGAAAUUCACAGAGAUACCCAAUGUGGAUUUGAUCUAUGGGUUGACAACAAAAUGACCAAGAGGCAGGAACUGUUGUUCUGUUUCCAUAGAGGUGAAAAAUGAGCCACAGUGAAGAAAAAAAACACCCAGAUCCACCUUGACGUUGAGGGCUGACGUCUUCGCCUGUGACUCUUUGCUCUGGGAGAUAUCUGGGAAGGUCACCAUCAGGUCAGGUAAAAAUCAGAGAGACCAAAACACCAGAGAGAACUUCAGGAGGAAGAAGAGGUCGAAGAAAUAGAAAACCGGAGGAGUGAGAAAGCAGACGAGGUGUCCUGAGGCAAAAACCUGCAGGAAAUGAAGUCAGCAGUCUCAGAAGGAUGUGAAAAGCAGCUGUGAGGCCAAAGAUCUUCAUUCCUUUCAAUGUGAAGUUCUCCGAGGACUGACUGGUCACUGUAAUUAAGCUCUGAUUGGACUCAGAUUCCAGCUUUUCUUGCCUCACAAGCAGCUGAACCUAUAAAAGCAACAGCAGAAGAAGAGAAAGACAUGAUUUAUAUUCAUGAUUUUUCAAUUAAAGGUUCACAGGAGUUGAAAUAAAAACAUGUAAGUGUGAACAAAAAAAGACAGGCUG
ensembl:lncRNA